rnacentral:rRNA from 1 species
GUACAACUCUGAUCGGUGGAUCACUCAGCUCGUGUGUCGAUGAAGAGCACAGCCAACUGUGUGAAAUAAUGUGAACUGCCCAAAGCUUUGAACAUCGAUAUCUUGAACGCACAUUGCGGCCAUGGGUUUUCCUGUGGCCACGCCUGUCCGAAGGUCAGCU